rnacentral:rRNA from 1 species
CGUGAGGAACCUGCCUUGGAGAGGGGAAUAACACUCCGAAAGGAGUGCUAAUACCGCAUGAUGCAGUUAGGUCGCAUGGCUCUGACUGCCAAAGAUUUGUCGCUCUGAGAUGGCCUCGCGUCUGAUUAGCUAGUAGGCGGGGUAACGGCCCACCUAGGCGACGAUCAGUAGCCGGACUGAGAGGUUGACCGGCCACAUUGGGACUGAGACACGGCCCAG